UACGUAGGGUGCAAGCGUUGUCCGGAAUUAUUGGGCGUAAAGAGCUCGUAGGCGGUCGGGUAAGUCUGAUGUGAAAUCUCACAGCUUAACUGUGAAACUGCAUUGGAUACUAUUCGGCUUGAGAGUUGGAGGGGGGACUGGAAUUCUUGGUGUAGCAGUGAAAUGCGUAGAUAUCAAGAGGAACACCAGUGGCGAAGGCGAGUCCCUGGACAACUUCUGACGCUGAGGCACGAAAGCUAGGGGAGCAAACAGG
rnacentral:rRNA from 1 species